GCUUGGCCCUAAACCUCAGUAGUUAAAUAACAAAACUACUCGCCAGAAUACUACAAGCAACAGCUUAAAACUCAAAGGACUUGACGGUGCUUUACAUCCCCCUAGAGGAGCCUGUUCCGUAAUCGAUAAACCCCGAUCCACCCCACCCUCUCUUGCUCAGCCUAUAUACCGCCAUCUUCAGCAAACCCUAAUGAAGGCCACAAAGUGAGCGCAAACGCCACUGCCGCGAAUACGUUAGGUCAAGGUGUAGCCCAUGAGACGGUAAAAAAUGGGCUACAUUUUCUAUUUCAGAAAACCCACGAAAACCCUUAUGAAACUUAAGGGUCCAAGGAGGAUUUAGCAGUAAAUUAAGAAUAGAGUGCUUAAUUGAACCAGGCCAUAAAGCGCG
rnacentral:rRNA from 1 species